rnacentral:rRNA from 1 species
CUUUGAAGUGUGGACGCCAGUCUGCAUGGAGCCGACCUUGAAAUACCACCCUUUAAUGUUUGAUGUUCUAACGUGGACCCGUAAUCCGGGUUGCGGACAGUGUCUGGUGGGUAGUUUGACUGGGGCGGUCUCCUCCUAAAGAGUAACGGAGGAGCACGAAGGUUGGCUAAUCCUGGUCGGACAUCAGGAGGUUAGUGCAAUGGCAUAAGCCAGCUUGACUGCGAGCGUGACGGCGCGAGCAGGUGCGAAAGCAGGUCAUAGUGAUCCGGUGGUUCUGAAUGGAAGGGCCAUCGCUCAACGGAUAAAAGGUACUCCGGGGAUAACAGGCUGAUACCGCCCAAGAGUUCAUAUCGACGGCGGUGUUUGGCACCUCGAUGUCGGCUCAUCACAUCCUGGGGCUGAAGUAGGUCCCAAGGGUAUGGCUGUUCGCCAUUUAAAGUGGUACGCGAGCUGGGUUUAGAACGUCGUGAGACAGUUCGGUCCCUAUCUGCCGUGGGCGCUGGAGAACUGAGGGGGGCUGCUCCUAGUACGAGAGGACCGGAGUGGACGCAUCACUGGUGUUCGGGUUGUCAUGCCAAUGGCACUGCCCGGUAGCUAAAUGCGGAAGAGAUAAGUGCUGAAAGCAUCUAAGCACGAAACUUGCCCCGA